rnacentral:rRNA from 1 species
CCUACGGGGGGCAGCAGUGAGGAAUAUUUGUCAAUGGACGAGAGUCUGAACCAGCCAAGUAGCGUGAAGGAUGACUGCCCUAUGGGUUGUAAACUUCUUUUAUAUGGGAAUAAAACGUUCCACGUGUGGGAUUUUGUAUGUACCAUAUGAAUAAGGAUCGGCUAACUCCGUGCCAGCAGCCGCGGUAAUACGGAGGAUCCGAGCGUUAUCCGGAUUUAUUGGGUUUAAAGGGAGCGUAGGUGGAUUGUUAAGUCAGUUGUGAAAGUUUGCGGCUCAACCGUAAAAUUGCAGUUGAAACUGGCAGUCUUGAGUACAGUAGAGGUGGGCGGAAUGCGUGGUGUAGCGGUGAAAUGCUUAGAUAUCACGAAGAACUCCGAUUGCGAAGGCAGUUCACUGGACUGCAACUGACACUGAGGCUCGAAAGUGUGGGUAUCAAACAGGAUUAGAUACCCUUGUAGUC